rnacentral:tRNA from 1 species
GGGGUUGUGGCUCAGUGGCAAAGCACUCACCUAGAAGGUGUGAGGCUCUGGGUUCAAUCCUCAGCACCA